rnacentral:rRNA from 1 species
ACCUACGGGGGGCAGCAGUGGGGGAUAUUGCACAAUGGGGGAAACCCUGAUGCAGCAACGCCGCGUGAGUGAAGAAGGUCUUCGGAUUGUAAAGCUCUGUUCUUGGUGAAGAUAAUGACGGUAGCCAAGGAGAAAGCUCCGGCUAACUACGUGCCAGCAGCCGCGGUAAUACGUAGGGGGCUAGCGUUAUCCGGAAUUACUGGGCGUAAAGGGUGCGUAGGUGGUUUCUUAAGUCAGAGGUGAAAGGCUACGGCUCAACCGUAGUAAGCCUUUGAAACUGGGGAACUUGAGUGCAGGAGAGGAGG